CUUUCCUCGAAAAAUAUCUCAAACAGUCGUCAAAACAAAAGAAUCUAAGUGAUGAAGAAAAUCUAACCAAUGUGUUCAAACCUUCGUCUUAACCUUCCGGGAUUGUACUCUCCAUCUCAGGUUUAGAACAAGUCUGCCCUUUCACGUGCUUCAGCAAGGCCUUUUUUGGCUCUUCAAACCGCUGCUCUUUCUGCACGCUCGCGGACAUCAGAAGCCUUCCUAACAGCAGCACUCUGAACUUUCGCAUGAGCUUCAGCGGCUGCUCUUUCACGUGCUUCCCUUCUAGCCCAUUUUACUGCUUCUCUUGCCAACACUCUUUCACGUGCUUCCAUUCUAGCCCAGUUUAGGAAUGUUUAUAUUACAUGAAGAUUCAGAAUAUAUAGUUCAGGAAUCUUUAUAUUUAUCUCUAAUGUAUUAUUUACAUUUAUAUAUACCUUAAAAUAGGAAACUAAAUCUCUAUAUAAGAGAAUGCAUUGUAUCAUUGCAAUCAUGAGAUUCUAAUACAAUCUUCCUCUAACACAUUAUGUGUCCGAGAUCUGUGAAUGGGAUCUUCUCAACGGCGGACCUACUAAGGAAGAAGGUCACCUGACCUAGGCGUUGUUUUGAAGAAUGCAAGAAUUGUUAAGAAGGGGACAAGUAAAGCGAAUGUAGCAAGCGGGAGUGUGGUCGAGACACUUGUUAUUUUGUCUUCCAAUAUUGUUCAAAUUAUUGCACAAGGAGUCUCGCUUCCAUAAAAUGUUACAACUAGCAAUAAUGAGGCUGAAAAUGUCAGAUCAGCCACAUAUACUUUACCUUGUCGGCCUCCUUUAUGUGAAAUAAACAGCUUCACAAAAUUCUACCUUGAAGGAAAUGUCUAUGAUCAUCUGAGAUUGAUAUGCAAAGCUCAAGUUCUAAGCUGUGAGUUCAAUUUCCCCGGAGUUGUUUUUAUCUUUGUUAUAGCUGUGGUAUAUACUCAUGACAUUUGAAAUUUUAUUUUGCUGUUAAAAUUGCAAUUACCGGUUCAACCGUUCAAACCAUGAAUUUGUCCAGCUUCCUGACGCUUGUUGCCUCUGUGGUGCUUGUUGUUCCCAUUGUGUUGGUGGCGGUAUUGGUGUUGGCGUCCUACGUACUUGCCUUUGUGGUGAUGGCAUAUGUGAUCUUUAAGAGGGUUGUGAACCUCGUAAUAAUAAUAAUAAUUAAAAUUACUCCAAAUUAAG